rnacentral:misc_RNA from 1 species
ACGUGUAAUAGCUAACGGUGUCUGCAAGGACGCCGCUAGUCUAAUAACUACUCUGUUAUACCCUUGUGGUGAAUAUAGGAAACUAGUGUGAUUGUGGUGGUCGGGAUGUGUUAAAGCAGCCAAGGACGCCACGAUCCUCUUCUUAACCAAAAACAUUACCAUUACAUUAUUAAUCUAAAGUAACCUUGUGGACAAGAUAUUCAUUUAUUGCAUCACCAAGUAAAACAACAACAAUCUAAUA